UAGCAUGUCAUUGGUGCUGUCUUUGUUGAGU
rnacentral:piRNA from 1 species